GACGAACGCUGGCGGCGUGCUUAACACAUGCAAGUCGAACGAGAUCCAAUGUGUAGCAAUACACAGGAAGAUCUAGUGGCGAACGGGUGAGGAACACGUGAGAAACGUACCCCAGACUUUGGGAUAACAGUCCGAAAGGACUGCUAAUACCAAAUAACGUCGGAAGUCCGCAUGGACAUCUGACGAAAGGGAUUCCGGUUUGGGAGCGUCUCGCGGACCUAUCAGCUAGUUGGAGGGGUAACGGCCCACCAAGGCAACGACGGGUAGCUGGUCUGAGAGGAGGGUCACCGACACGGGGCCUGAGACACGCCCCAGACUCGUACGGGAGGCAGCAGGGGGGAGUCUUGCGCAGUGGGCGAGAGCCUGACGCAGCAGCCCCGGGGGCGGGAAGAAGGCUUGCGGGUUGUAAACCGCUUUCAGUAGGAGCGAAGUUGACGGUACCUACAGAAGAAGGGCCGGCCAACUAUGUG
rnacentral:rRNA from 1 species